rnacentral:rRNA from 1 species
CCUACGGGAGGCAGCAGUGGGGAAUAUUGGACAAUGGGCGAAAGCCUGAUCCAGCCAUGCCGCGUGUGUGAAGAAGGCCUUCGGGUUGUAAAGCACUUUCAGUGGGGAAGAAAGCCUUGGGGCUAAUACCCUCGAGGAAGGACAUCACCCACAGAAGAAGCACCGGCUAACUCCGUGCCAGCAGCCGCGGUAAUACGGAGGGUGCGAGCGUUAAUCGGAAUUACUGGGCGUAAAGCGCGCGUAGGCGGUCUGAUAAGCCGGUUGUGAAAGCCCCGGGCUCAACCUGGGAACGGCAUCCGGAACUGUCAGGCUAGAGUGCAGGAGAGGAAGGGAGAAUUCCCGGUGUAGCGGUGAAAUGCGUAGAGAUCGGGAGGAAUACCAGUGGCGAAGGCGGCCUUCUGGACUGACACUGACGCUGAGGUGCGAAAGCGUGGGUAGCAAACAGGAUUAGAUACCCGGGUAGUC